UACGAAGGGUGCAAGCGUUACUCGGAAUUACUGGGCGUAAAGCGUGCGUAGGUGGUUCGUUAAGUCCGAUGUGAAAGCCCUGGGCUCAACCUGGGAAUGGCAUUGGAUACUGGCGGGCUAGAGUGCGGUAGAGGGCAGUGGAAUUCCCGGUGUAGCAGUGAAAUGCGUAGAGAUCGGGAGGAACAUCUGUGGCGAAGGCGACUGCCUGGACCAGCACUGACACUGAGGCACGAAAGCGUGGGGAGCAAACGGG
rnacentral:rRNA from 1 species